AUGAGCCGACCCGUGCUUCAGUUCCUUGUCCGAUUCCACGUAAACGAAUGGAGAGUGUACCUUGACCCUGCUCCUCCAGUCCGGGUGGCAUCCAGCCGGGCAUGGCAGCCUCCCCCUCCAGAUAUAGUAAAGAUUAACAUCGAUGGUGCAUACAAUGUUGAAUCGGGGAAGGGAGGAUGGGGGCUUGUCUAUCGCGACUCCCACAAUGAGAUUCUGUUUGCCGCGGCGGGUUCCUCUAGCUUUCUUUCGGACGCAUUGCAUGCUGAAUCUUUGGCCCUGGUGCAUGCUAUCAACACCGCUGAUCAUCUGGGAGUGGGCAAAGUUCAGUUCAAAACGGAUUGCUCAAUACUCCAACAUCAGAAGUGGCAACAAAAGACUAGCUACAACCCCCUAUACGCAAGUAGCAGAAGUGCCCCCACAAUUGUUGAGCUGCUGGCUCCUUUUGUUAAUUGUGCACUAUUGAGUGAAUCUGCAACAGCAAACACAGUAAUUCAGUUAGCCAAUGUUUACCUGCUCAUGACCCUGCAUUGCGGUUUGCUGGUCAACAUGCAGAGUUGGAUCAUAAUAUUCAACAGAAAAAACUUUAUAACCAGAAGCGAAGGCAGCACCGCCCGUGCUGACGUGCACGCGGAGCAGCCUACCGAUCGAACUACCUCGCGUGGCGGGGCAUCGUUAUCUAGCUGCUGCUUAUACAAGGCCACAGCCACAGUACAACUCACGCACCACCAUCAACACACCCGGACGCAUGCAUGCACAACGGCGCUAUCCAUGGCUGCCUCUGCCGCCGACGACAUUGCCGAGCUUGCGAUCACCUCGCUUCUCCUCAACACGCGGUUCCGCCCGUUCCAUCUGAGGCAGUACGACGGGUUCUGGCUCCUGGAGGAGUUCCUCAUGGACGUUCCCGCCGUCCACUCGGUCUUCGAGCCGAGGCCGUCGGACGUCCUCCUUCGCAAAGUGCGGCACCACCUGGCUCAAGGCUAUCGUCUUCGCCACGCGCAACCGGGCCGAGCACCCGCCAUGUGA
rnacentral:rRNA from 1 species